CGUGAGAUGUUGGGUUAAGUCCCGCAACGAGCGCAACCCCUAUUGUUAGUUGCCAUCAUUCAGUUGGGCACUCUAGCGAGACUGCCGGUAAUAAACCGGAGGAAGGUGGGGAUGACGUCAAAUCAUCAUGCCCCUUAUGACCUGGGCUACACACGUGCUACAAUGGUUGGUACAACGAGUUGCUGAGUCGGUGACGGCAAGCUAAUCUCUUAAAGCCAAUCUCAGUUCGGAUUGUAGGCUGCAACUCGCCUACAUGAAGU
rnacentral:rRNA from 1 species